UACGAAGGGGGCUAGCGUUGGUUCGGAAUUACUGGGCGUAAAGCGCGCGCAGGCGGUCUUCCAAGUCAGUGGUGAAAGCCCGGAGCUCAACUCCGGAACUGCCAUUGAAACUGUUGGACUUGAGUACGAGAGAGGUGAGUGGAAUUCCCAGUGUAGAGGUGAAAUUCGUAGAUAUUGGGAAGAACACCGGUGGCGAAGGCGGCUCACUGGCUCGUAACUGACGCUCAGGCGCGACAGCGUGGGGAUCGAAACAGG
rnacentral:rRNA from 1 species